rnacentral:rRNA from 1 species
UGGGGAAUAUUGCACAAUGGGCGCAAGCCUGAUGCAGCAACGCCGCGUGAACGAUGAAGGUCUUCGGAUCGUAAAGUUCUGUUGCAGGGGAAGAUAAUGACGGUACCCUGUGAGGAAGCCCCGGCUAACUACGUGCCAGCAGCCGCGGUAAUACGUAGGGGGCUAGCGUUAUCCGGAUUUACUGGGCGUAAAGGGUGCGUAGGUGGUCUUUCAAGUCGGUGGUUAAAGGCUACGGCUCAACCGUAGUUAGCCUCCGAAACUGGAAGACUUGAGUGAAGGAGAGGAAAGUGGAAUUCCCAGUGUAGCGGUGAAAUGCGUAGAUAUUGGGAGGAACACCAGUAGCGAAGGCGGCUUUCUGGACUGCAACUGACACUGAGGCACGAAAGCGUGGGUAGCAAACAGG